UAAACUAAAUCUAAUCUAGAACUGAUUGAUAAAGAACAAGAUUCAAGGCUCCGGGGAAACAAUGUAAUCGUACAAGUUCUUUUUUCCUUUCUCCAGAGCCUCGACUCGUAUUGUUUUGUGCUUGACCUCUCAACCAGAAUAUCGAAAAUGGUCUAUUGCUGCAUAGGAUCCAUAGUUCCUUCCGUCUCAGAGUUUAGUAUCCCAGACAAGUUUCCGCGUAGGCUGUGAAGACAAAAUGUCACACUCAUCUAUUAGAGAAUCGCUGAUGGGUGUCAAAGGGUGCAUGGAAACUAUCAAUUUCACUGGCUAAUAGGUGAGAUGAGGUACUGAGGGGGGUCUCUAUUUCCUGACUGGAAAAGCCAUUAGUUCAUCGUUGUAAGCAGUAUGGGGUCUAUAGUUACUAUUCAUCAUAUGGACGAAUAUAUAGCUAUUUACCAAAUCUAAUUAAUUGAAUAUGGCAAGGAAAAGCAAGGUCAUUAGUGAAUGUUAUCCAGAAAAAAGGUUCAAAGUUUCGAUCAACAUGAUCAAUCAUGUCCAAAGAAGCGUAUGUUUCCCAUGCUUUUCUAAUGCUCUAAAACCAGCUGAUCUAAGAAAAAAUUAUAGCCAAUGAGAAUCGAGAAAAAUUGAGGUAUCACUUUUCCUCUUGAAAUUAUGGAUUUAAAUAGGAAAAAGGCGCGCGCGAAGAAAAAGU